UAGGGUAGAUGGGUGCGGCGGCGGCAGGCUCCCCCUCUGCUGCUGCGGCGGCGGAGACGUUCCGUCCCGCCAAACUUAGGGCGGCGGCGGCUUGAGGCCCUUUGCGGGCUGCCGCAUGGGACCUUCCGGACCUAGUUCCUCCUCGUGUCGCUAAAGCACCGGCGCCGUAUCGCCGCGCCACCGGCCCCCAGCGCCGCAGGGUACACCCACGUUACCAGUGCCGUCGUCCGUGUGUGCCGCCACCAGCGCGUACCCCGACGCGACCAGACACUGGUGUACCACCGCCAUCUUCCAGCAGAAGGGUCUCGUGGCGUGCGACCGGCGGCAGAGGUAGCCGCCGGCGUGGUUGUUCUGUCUGACAUAUUAAGCCUACCCAGAAGAAGAUGUACCACUGAUAACUGCGUUUCUUCCUAACGUGAAGCAAGGGUAGAAGAUGUAUCGGAUAUGC
rnacentral:rRNA from 1 species